rnacentral:rRNA from 1 species
UGGGGAAUAUUGCACAAUGGGCGCAAGCCUGAUGCAGCAACGCCGCGUGAGGGAUGACGGCCUUCGGGUUGUAAACCUCUUUUAGUAGGGAAGAAGCGAAAGUGACGGUACCUGCAGAAAAAGCACCGGCUAACUACGUGCCAGCAGCCGCGGUAAUACGUAGGGUGCGAGCGUUGUCCGGAAUUAUUGGGCGUAAAGAGCUCGUAGGCGGUCUGUCGCGUCUGCUGUGAAAACCCGAGGCUCAACCUCGGGCCUGCAGUGGGUACGGGCAGACUAGAGUGCGGUAGGGGAGAAUGGAAUUCCUGGUGUAGCGGUGGAAUGCGCAGAUAUCAGGAGGAACACCGAUGGCGAAGGCAGUUCUCUGGGCCGUAACUGACGCUGAGGAGCGAAAGCGUGGGGAGCGAACAGGAUUAGAUACCCUGGUAGUCCACGCCGUAAAACGUUGGGCGCUAAGAUGUGGGGACCAUUCCACGGUUUCCGUGUCGCAGCUAACGCAUUAA